UACGUAGGGUGCGAGCGUUGUCCGGAAUUACUGGGCGUAAAGAGCUCGUAGGUGGUUUGUCGCGUUGUUCGUGAAAACUCACAGCUUAACUGUGGGCGUGCGGGCGAUACGGGCAGACUGGAGUACUGCAGGGGAGACUGGAAUUCCUGGUGUAGCGGUGGAAUGCGCAGAUAUCAGGAGGAACACCGGUGGCGAAGGCGGGUCUCUGGGCAGUAACUGACGCUGAGGAGCGUAAGCGUGGGGAGCGAACAGG
rnacentral:rRNA from 1 species